AUAACAGCUGGAAACGGCUGCUAAUACCGCAUAAGCGCACAGAGCUGCAUGGCUCAGUGUGAAAAACUCCGGUGGUAUGGGAUGGGCCCGCGUCUGAUUAGGCAGUUGGCGGGGUAACGGCCCACCAAACCGACGAUCAGUAGCCGGCCUGAGAGGGCGACCGGCCACAUUGGGACUGAGACACGGCCCAAACUCCUACGGGAGGCAGCAGUGGGGAAUAUUGCACAAUGGGGGAAACCCUGAUGCAGCGACGCCGCGUGAGCGAAGAAGUAUUUCGGUAUGUAAAGCUCUAUCAGCAGGGAAGAUAAUGACGGUACCUGACUAAGAAGCCCCGGCUAACUACGUGCCAGCAGCCGCGGUAAUACGUAGGGGGCAAGCGUUAUCCGGAUUUACUGGGUGUAAAGGGAGCGUAGACGGCAAGGCAAGUCUGAUGUGAAAACCCAGGGCUUAACCCUGGGACUGCAUUGGAAACUGUCUGGCUCGAGUGCCGGAGAGGUAAGCGGAAUUCCUAGUGUAGCGGUGAAAUGCGUAGAUAUUAGGAAGAACACCAGUGGCGAAGGCGGCUUACUGGACGGUAACUGACGUUGAGGCUCGAAAGCGUGGGGAGCAAACAGGAUUAGAUACCCUGGUAGUCCACGCCGUAAAC
rnacentral:rRNA from 1 species